ensembl:lncRNA
CUUAUCUUAGCUUAUCUCCACCUGUUUAGAUUGGAAAACCGACAAAAAUCCAUCUCCCAUGAGAUUUCCAAGGUUUCUUGAUUUUGUUUGAGUCAGAGCUGCCAUAAGAGAUGCAUUUCUCAGAGCCCUUCUGAGCUGCUGCCAGGAACAGGGAGUGCUGGGCUGUGCCACUUCAACAACAACAGAAAGAGUUUUCUUUGAAAAGUCACCAAAUUUUAUAAGCUUUAAAAAAAAAAAACCUUAAAAAAAAAAAAAAAACUUCAGCCUCGUUCAGUCUCAGAUCUGAUUAAAAGAGCUGCCCUGAUUUAUUGGUGUCAAACAAAGUAUGUUUGGGUAGAACGCUAUUUUGUAAUGGAAAAAGCAUCAGUGGAAGCACCGCCUCUCAGCGCUGCUUGGGUUGGAUGAGUGCUAAGCCUUAAAUUAUGAUUGUGCUGCUGAAGAAAAGGAGGACUGCUGGAAACGCUGCAGCUAAGAGGCCCAUCUCUCACUCUUCCAAAUAAAGCCAGGAACCUUCUACCAGAGCAUUGCCACCAGGAUGAGUCUGCAGGGACCGCCCAGACACACCUGGAAAAUCAAGUGCCAGAAACCAGUGGUUCAGGGGUGCCAAGCACCUCUGUUAAUAUAUCAGUUUAUACCUGCAAGACCUUGUCCCACCAAACCAAAAAAAAAAAUCCAUCAUUCUACUCAUGCACUUUUCCCCAAAACACCACAAAAGUGACUUUUGGCCUUUAAAUCUGAUCCAUCUCCAUUUGAGAUGCCACCGAGGCUACAGCUGAGACUGGAAGACCUUAUAUAAAUUUAAUUCAAUAAAAGUUAUUUGGAAACAUCAACCCUGAUUGGCAACUGAAAAAAAAUAUGCUGCAGUUAUCAGAGUCCUCUGCACAUUUUUCCCAGCAGACAUUUUGUCUGUCUCACUUGUGGGGAACUACUCUGGGUCAGAAUGCUGCAGAUGCUUUUAUGAUUUAAAAUUGAAAAUUGAAAAAGAUGGUCUUUGUCGUGUAACUUUUAGCAGUGUUUCUUUUGCACGAGCAAAACUGUCUUCUGCCUUAAGAUGUUUAAUGAUUAUUUGAAAGCGACUUGAUGAAUAGAAGAGCGCGUACUCCCACAGGGGACAAACGUAUUUUUAGACUGACUCAUAAUAAUUAAUCUCUGUCGAAGUGUAAUGCAUUAAUUUCUCCUACUGGUAGGGGCUCUACUGCUGCCUCUUUUCCUAAGGUAGAUGGUUCUGCUCCGGGAGCUGAUUUAAGUGGACACAACCAGGUACUCAGUUAUGUGACUGUUACCUCAACGAUCUCUGUAGGAACACAGCAAAUAACUCACACAUGGCUGGAAAAGACUGCACGCGGGGGAGGAUGUCACAGGCUGCAGGGUGAGAAGCUCUGUGCCUUGUCAUCCGUUUCUUCCAUACCCGGUUUUGCCCUUUCUCUGCUGCUGCCACUGGAGUACAGAGAGACCCAGAGCAGUGAUGCCAUUCUGCUGCUGGCCCUGCCCGCUCUGACCUUUUCCAACCUCAGAGAAGGUUUUGGCCCUAACUCCUUUGCCAGGAGUCAUCCCUACAAAUCAAGAUGUUCCCCCUCCAGGUGAGAUGAUGCUUUGGAUGGGGCAGGCUGCUAUCACGUUGCCCUCAGUGGAGAUGUGUGAGCAAGGUAGAGAGAGAAUGAGGACUGGUGGAGCCGUACAAAAUGAGCUCAAAGUUCUCAUAGGGCUCAGUGGUGGUGCCGGGAUCUAAUGCGCUGCUAAUGAGGUUGAUAAGGAACCUGUGAGAGGGAAGGAAGUGGGAAAAAUGGCUGCAGGACCACGUGGAUGUCAAUGAAUAUGAAGUAGGGACAGAAUUAGGGUGGAGAAGACAUGGUUGGGUAAGGGUCAAGUUGAGGUAUUUGGGAUAGACUCCCAUUGAGAUGUUUAAUGAACUGAGCUUCUGUCUACCAAGGUGGUGCUUUCUCCAAUACCUGUACAGAGCUCAGCACCCAUGGUUCAGCUCUAACCUUCCCAGAGGUCUCCUGUUUCUGCCAGCAGACACGUCAGAUGUCAGCACACAUGCACUAUGUGGAUAGAGGGGGUGAUAAUAAGUAUGCAAGAACAUCUCUGGUGUAGGGAACUAUAUACUGCACAGUGAGUUGAUCCUUAGUGAUAGAGUCAUAGAAUUGUUUGAGUUAGAAGGGACCCUUAAAGCUCAUCUAAUCCAACUCACCUGCAAUGUUCUACCAGAUGCUUGGAGCCCCAUCCAGCUUGACCUUGAAAGUGAAGUACUGACCAAGUAGUGACCAAAUACUUCCUAAGCACUGGGAGGUGAGUCUGGGGCUUCAGGGCAAGGCAAGGUGGUCCCGUGUGCCUGAGUGGCAUCCUGAUGAACUGGAUUUAGUUUCUUCAGCUACCUGAAGCCUACUUUUUUGUAUUUUUGUAUUUUUGAAAAAAAAACUUGUAUUUUUG